CCCAGACUCCUACGGGAGGCAGCAGUGGGGAAUAUUGCACAAUGGGGGGAACCCUGAUGCAGCGACGCCGCGUGGGCGAGGAAGUAUUUCGGUAUGUAAAGCCCUAUCGGCAGGGGGGAAGAAAUGACGGUACCUGAUUAAGAAGCCCCGGCUCACUACGCGCCAGCAGCCGCGGUAAUACGCAGGGCGCAAGCGUUAUCCGGAUUUACUGGGUGUAAGGGGAGCGCAGACGGCAGUGCAAGUCUGGAGUGAAAGCCCGGGGCCCAACCCCGGAACUGCUCUGGAAACUGUGCGGCUAGAGUACUGGAGGGGCAGGCGGAAUUCCUGGUGUAGCGGUGAAAGGCGUAGAUAUCAGGAGGAACACCGGUGGCGAAGGCGGCCUGCUGGACUGCAACUGACGUUGAGGCCCGAAAGCGUGGGGAGCAAACAGGAUUAGAGACCCUCGUA
rnacentral:rRNA from 1 species